AAAUAUUCACUAUACCUAGGGGUUAUAGAUUUUGAAAUAUUAAUUUUUAAAGAAAAAAUUUGAUAUGCAAUGAUUCGUGGAGGUGCUAGUAACUCUUCAAUAGCGUGAUAUCAAGUGGAUUUUUGGUACCUGUAAAGGGUAUACUAGGUGUUUAGUUUUUGCCAUUACAUUUUAAUAAAUUCAAGCAGCUAUAACUUUGUUAACUUAAGGGUGUCCUCUAGUUUCUCGGGUCGAAAAAAUCGAAAUUUUUUUUUUCAUAAAUCACAUUUACAACGUGUAGAAAAUGUGUGCCAAAGGAUUUUUCGAUAUUCGAAGUGGUUAACAAGUUACGGCCCUGGAAUGGAGCAGGUAUACGGAGCGCGCGCAACACUGCACCGCACAAAGCCGAGCGGCGCUGACCGCUGACCAUUAUAUUGAUAUCCCUAAAUCUAACUGAAUCGCGAAAAGGGAAGAUGGAGCAGCUCUGCGGGACUUCCAAGAAGAAGAGGAAGGCCUACUGUAUGGUCCAGGCAUAGCAGAUUGAGCUAAGCAAAACAGCCGCAAUCUUGGUCACCGUCAAGCACCUCCUUCACUUGAUGUCUUCCUAUCGGCCACUAUAACUUUGAUUCUAUUAUAUAUUUUGUCCUCAAAAAAUUUGUAAAGCUUAUUUAAAUGUAAAUAAAGAUAAUGUAAAAACAA